rnacentral:rRNA from 1 species
UUUAUGGAGAGUUUGAUCCUGGCUCAGGAUGAACGCUGGCGGCGUGCCUAAUACAUGCAAGUCGAGCGAACGGACGAGAAGCUUGCUUCUCUGAUGUUAGCGGCGGACGGGUGAGUAACACGUGGAUAACCUACCUAUAAGACUGGGAUAACUUCGGGAAACCGGAGCUAAUACCGGAUAAUAUUUUGAACCGCAUGGUUCAAAAGUGAAAGACGGUCUUGCUGUCGCUUAUAGAUGGAUCCGCGCUGCAUUAGCUAGUUGGUAAGGUAACGGCUUACCAAGGCAACGAUGCAUAGCCGACCUGAGAGGGUGAUCGGCCACACUGGAACUGAGACACGGUCCAGACUCCUACGGGAGGCAGCAGUAGGGAAUCUUCCGCAAUGGGCGAAAGCCUGACGGAGCAACGCCGCGUGAGUGAUGAAGGUCUUCGGAUCGUAAAACUCUGUUAUUAGGGAAGAACAUAUGUGUAAGUAACUGUGCACAUCUUGACGGUACCUAAUCAGAAAGCCACGGCUAACUACGUGCCAGCAGCCGCGGUAAUACGUAGGUGGCAAGCGUUAUCCGGAAUUAUUGGGCGUAAAGCGCGCGUAGGCGGUUUUUUAAGUCUGAUGUGAAAGCCCACGGCUCAACCGUGGAGGGUCAUUGGAAACUGGAAAACUUGAGUGCAGAAGAGGAAAGUGGAAUUCCAUGUGUAGCGGUGAAAUGCGCAGAGAUAUGGAGGAACACCAGUGGCGAAGGCGACUUUCUGGUCUGUAACUGACGCUGAUGUGCGAAAGCGUGGGGAUCAAACAGGAUUAGAUACCCUGGUAGUCCACGCCGUAAACGAUGAGUGCUAAGUGUUAGGGGGUUUCCGCCCCUUAGUGCUGCAGCUAACGCAUUAAGCACUCCGCCUGGGGAGUACGACCGCAAGGUUGAAACUCAAAGGAAUUGACGGGGACCCGCACAAGCGGUGGAGCAUGUGGUUUAAUUCGAAGCAACGCGAAGAACCUUACCAAAUCUUGACAUCCUUUGACAACUCUAGAGAUAGAGCCUUCCCCUUCGGGGGACAAAGUGACAGGUGGUGCAUGGUUGUCGUCAGCUCGUGUCGUGAGAUGUUGGGUUAAGUCCCGCAACGAGCGCAACCCUUAAGCUUAGUUGCCAUCAUUAAGUUGGGCACUCUAAGUUGACUGCCGGUGACAAACCGGAGGAAGGUGGGGAUGACGUCAAAUC